AGUCGAGGGGUAUUGUUCUUCGGAAUGAGAGACCGGCGCACGGGUGCGUAACGCGUAUGCAAUCUACCUUUCACAGAGGGAUAGCCCAGAGAAAUUUGGAUUAAUACCUCAUAGUAUAACACAACCGCAUGGUUGAGUUAUUAAAGUCACAACGGUGAAAGAUGAGCAUGCGUCCCAUUAGCUUGUUGGUAAGGUAACGGCUUACCAAGGCAACGAUGGGUAGGGGUCCUGAGAGGGAGAUCCCCCACACUGGUACUGAGACACGGACCAGACUCCUACGGGAGGCAGCAGUGAGGAAUAUUGGACAAUGGGCGCAAGCCUGAUCCAGCCAUGCCGCGUGCAGGAUGACGGUCCUAUGGAUUGUAAACUGCUUUUGCACAGGAAGAAACACUCGGACGUGUCCGAGCUUGACGGUACUGUGAGAAUAAGGAUCGGCUAACUCCGUGCCAGCAGCCGCGGUAAUACGGAGGAUCCAAGCGUUAUCCGGAAUCAUUGGGUUUAAAGGGUCCGUAGGCGGUUUGGUAAGUCAGUGGUGAAAGCCCAUCGCUCAACGGUGGAACGGCCAUUGAUACUGCUAGACUUGAAUUAUUAGGAAGUAACUAGAAUAUGUAGUGUAGCGGUGAAAUGCUUAGAGAUUACAUGGAAUACCAAUUGCGAAGGCAGGUUACUACUAAUGGAUUGACGCUGAUGGACGAAAGCGUGGGUAGCGAACAGGAUUAGAUACCCUGGUAG
rnacentral:rRNA from 1 species